rnacentral:lncRNA from 1 species
UUCCCACAUAUCCUUCUCUUGCUUCAUCUUGGCAAGUACGUCUUCCAACCCCUCUACAUCUUGGUUAGGGAGAGUUAAUGGCUCAGCCACAACCAUAGACAUAGGUCUCUCACAAGCAUACGACAUCUUUAACUCCAAAGCUCUCUUCUUCACCCAAGUAAUGUAAGCUUCCAAAGCUACACAGUUGCACAGACCAAGCUCGGAUCUUCC